GAUGAACGCUGGCGGCGUGCCUAAUACAUGCAAGUCGAGCGAACGGACGAGAAGCUUGCUUCUCUGAUGUUAGCGGCGGACGGGUGAGUAACACGUGGAUAACCUACCUAUAAGACUGGGAUAACUUCGGGAAACCGUAGCUAAUACCGGAUAAUAUUUUGAACCGCAUGGUUCAAAAGUGAAAGACGGUCUUGCUGUCACUUAUAGAUGGAUCCGCGCUGCAUUAGCUAGUUGGUAAGGUAACGGCUUACCAAGGCAACGAUGCAUAGCCGACCUGAGAGGGUGAGCGGCCACCCUGGAACUGAGACACGGUCCAGACUCCUACGGGAGGCAGCAGUAGGGAAUCUUCCGCAAUGGGCGAAAGCCUGACGGAGCAACGCCGCGUGAGUGAUGAAGGUCUUCGGAUCGUAAAACUCUGUUAUUAGGGAAGAACAUAUGUGUAAGUAACUGUGCACAUCUUGACGGUACCUAAUCAGAAAGCCACGGCUAACUACGUG
rnacentral:rRNA from 1 species